GUAGUCAUAUGCUUGUCUCAAAGAUUAAGCCAUGCAUGUCUAAGUAUAAGCAAUCUAUACGGUGAAACUGCGAAUGGCUCAUUAAAUCAGUUAUCGUUUAUUUGAUAGUACCUUACUACUUGGAUAACCGUGGUAAUUCUAGAGCUAAUACAUGCUAAAAACCUCGACUUCGGAAGGGGUGUAUUUAUUAGAUAAAAAACCAAUGCCCUUCGGGGCUCCUUGGUGAUUCAUAAUAACUUAACGAAUCGCAUGGCCUUGUGCCGGCGAUGGUUCAUUCAAAUUUCUGCCCUAUCAACUUUCGAUGGUAGGAUAGUGGCCUACCAUGGUUUCAACGGGUAACGGGGAAUUAGGGUUCUAUUCCGGAGAGGGAGCCUGAGAAACGGCUGCCACAUCCAAGGAAGGCAGCAGGCGCGCAAAUUACCCAAUCCCGACACGGGGAGGUAGUGACAAUAAAUACUGAUACAGGGCUCUUUUGGGUCUUGUAAUUGGAAUGAGUACAAUUUAAAUCCCUUAACGAGGAACAAUUGGAGGGCAAGUCUGGUGCCAGCAGCCGCGGUAAUUCCAGCUCCAAUAGCGUAUAUUAAAGUUGUUGCAGUUAAAAAGCUCGUAGUUGAACCUUGAGCCUGGCUGGCCGGUCCGCCUCACCGCGUGCACUGGUCCGGCCGGGUUUUUCCUUCUGGGGAGCCGCAUG
rnacentral:rRNA from 1 species